UGCUAGGGAUAUUUUCAAAUUUUAAAACAGCUGAAAUCAAAAAAAAGUUAUCUAUUUGUAAGUUGAAAUGUAAUUGGAAAUAUUUGCUUAUAGUUAUAUUUCAAAUAAAUUAUUUCAAAAUAAAAUUUUUCCUAACAGUAUAGUUAAAAGUAUAACCAGUACACUAUACUAUUAAAUUACUUAUUAAAUUUAGUCUAUUGAGUGGUAUAUAAUCUGUAUAUUCUGAAAAUUACUGUAAAUCAUGGCUGGUUUAGAAUCUUUUGAUAUGGAUUACCAGAGACACCGACCAUCAAGAAGUAUAUCAGAACAUCCAUUUGAGCCACAACAUGAUGUUCUGAGUACUGACAUAAUAAGACAACAACAACGUAACACAUUACUUGAAAUAUCUAAAAAAAGAGAUAAAUCUGUUAAUGAUUCUGUGAAUAAAUGUCUUAAACCCACUUGUUUAAUAUUGCAACACGUUGUCAGCUAUCCAUUUAUUGUACUCCGAAGACAGUGCCAGUUACAUUAUGCUUCUGUGCGUUAUCAUAUUGUGCCAUUUUCAUUAAUUCCAGUUGUAUUUAGACUAGUUAAAAGUCAAGGAAUUUCCGUUUUAUGGAAAGGAUUUGGAACAGUAUUACUUAUCAAAGGGGUGACAAUGGCUGUUGAAGCAAUUUUAUCUGAAAUUUUUGAUUUACCCAAAGAUGCUGAUUCUAUAAAUAAUUCAAAAAGUUUUGGAAAACAUAUUAUUUUAAAAUGUGUCAGUUUGAGUAUAAUUACCCCAUUUUAUUCCGCAUGUUUAGUUGAAACUGUUCAAAGUAAUAUUGCUAGUGAAAAAACUGCAGUUUAUGAUGUAUUUAAAGAAGGAUUUAUUAGACUUCUUCAAUGGAAUUGUCCACAAAAAGGACGCAUGUUACCAGUAUGGAUUAUAGUUGUACCCACAGUUAUAUAUGGAGUUUUUAAAUGUAUAACAAAUAUAUUAGUUAGUAAAAGUGUUAAACACAUGUUAACUAUGUAUGAAAUUCAUAAAAUUCGUAAAGUGUGUCCCAAAUCAAUUGAAUAUUCUCCUUCAUAUUCCGAUAAUGAACGUUUAGAAGCAGUUUCUGAUUUAACUGCUUCUGCAGUUGGUGAUGCUGUUCUUUUUCCUCUGGAAAUAAUUAUGCAUCGUCUUUAUUUGCAAGGCACUCGUACCAUAAUUGACAAUUUAGAUACGGGAAUUUCUGUUAUGCCAAUAUUAACUGGUUAUGUAGGACCAUUGGACUGUUUAGUAACUACUGUUGAAAAAGAAGGACGGUUAGGUUUGUUUAAAGGAUUUGGUGCAUUGAUUCUUCAAACAGCAUUAAUUGGAAUGUUGUAUAAAUUUGUCAAAAUUACUCUUGUUAAAGUUGUUGAUUCUUAUUCUACUGAACUUCAAUCCUCUUCAGUUAAUACACAAAAUAAUCUUAAUAAUCAAAUGAGUACACCAGAACAAUCAAGAAUGGAACUGGCAGAUAUCCGACCAAUAAUGCGAUCAACAUCAUUUAUGAUGUGAACAGGUAUCGCAGGUGCGCCGCCAGGCAACGCUGAGGUGAUACUAUUAUACAGGUGAGGUGGUGAAAUGCCAAUGCCACACCGCCUCGACCACUUCUGUCGACGCUGUAGCAUCUACAGACGACAGCAAACGCGAACGUUCAGUUCACGGCGCAAUCGUCGUCCGUUUAUUAUUGUUUUUCUUGUCUUUUCGAACGCGAUAUAAAUAUUAUUGUUUACGGUUUUUUUACCUCUCUCUCCUUCCGUUGUUAUUUUCAUUAUUAUUUUUCCACUUCUAUAUUCUUUUAUAAUUCACUCGCGUGCGCCGUGAAACGAUGAUUGUAUCGGUUCGUUCGUUUUUACCGCGGUGAUGAUGGUAUCGGGGCGACCGUUUUUCCCAUGUUCAUAACAACAAUUACGACCUCCACCACUAACGCUGCACCGUCGCCCUGUCUCGUUUGAGUAGACGCUGUUGCAGCCGUUCGCAAACCGCCCACCGUCUCCACCGGUCGCUGUUGCCCAGUUGUGGCCGUACCGUUCGUCGGUUAUUCAAAUGU
rnacentral:misc_RNA from 1 species